GUAGAUAUAAGUGAAACUACAUGUAUUAACAUAUUGUUGUAGUUGAAUAAAAAAACUCGAAACACUUUUAGAUAUAAUUGCAUCAUUUGCAUGAGAAAUGGAAUUAUGCACAUGAUUUGCUGUUUUUUUUUAAGCAUAAUUUCCGGAUUAAAAAGACCCACGUCUUUUGGAACUAAAAUUUGAAAGAAAUGGUCAAAACCAUGUUCUUAUAA
rnacentral:lncRNA from 1 species